UCAAGAAGUUAUAGAGGUGGGGUUUUGAAAUGAUGGGGUUCAAAGCUUCAUUUUUUAUAUGGGUGAUCUUUGGUUUUGGUGAAUUGGGUUUCUGGGAAUUUUCAAACCAUUUUUUUGUUCUUGAUUAGUCAUUGUGUUUUUGUCUAUAUAUGUCUCCUGACAUGCACAAUGUCCUAAUUAUUCAUUUUAUAUGUGUGUGCUUUUUAAAAUCUGAAACACAAACCAGUUUAACUCACUACUCACCCCCUCCCUAAAACAGAAAAUGUAAAAUAGUUCAUGAAAGUGGUAUAUUUUGGUCAAUAUCCACUUUAACUAUCAAAGCACUCAGUUCUUUCGUGAGUUUUGUUCUCUUUAAAUUUAUUAGUAAUUGGUUUGAUUUUAUUGUUUUCUUUCCUGGUGAUUUAAGUCAUAGUGUAUUUUAAAUUUUGGAUUUCUUAAAUAAUUUUAUUUUCUCUUGCUGGUAAUCUUGUAUGCUUAAGGAUUUUUCUGAUAUGUUCAUAUUGAAUACUAUUAAAAUACUGGAAAUUGGUCAAAACAAAAGGAAGUAGCACUGUUGCUUGUUUUGCUAAAUGGUUAAGCCGUUCAGCGUUAUUUACCAUAGUCUUCUUGUAUGUUGCAAUCUGUUAGGAGAAUGUUGAAAUUUUCUGGGAGUUAAUUAUUAUUAUAGUGUGCACUAGAUUUUGUUGAGAGUUGAUUAAUGUGUAGAUUUAGCAUGUAAUGUUUGCUCAAUUGAUUAUUCUUUGCACUUUUUGGGUCCCACAAUUAGGAAAAGGAAUGAAUAUUUUUCUUUUUUUUAAUGAUAAUAAUGCUAUAUAUAUUGGAAAACUUUUUUUUAUUUUAACCAGUUGAUUACUAAUUGAUUAUUUGUGUUUUAGUGUAUAUAAGUAAGACUUGUUGUGUUAUCUCUGCAAACUGUAGCGAUUACUAAGCUAAUUGAUUAUUUUCAAUUCUGGUUUCGCAAUUUUAUUGGUUUAGUAGCUUUCAAACUUAAUACUUUGAGUUUGUCAUGUUAGUUUUUUUUAGCUCUGGUAUGAUUGGCUUUUCAGGUUUAGAGUAGCUUUUACAUGCUGCAUUCUAACAGUAGAGAAUUUUGGGUUUAGUAGCUCCAUUGAAGGCUUGAAGCACAUACUCUCAAUUAUUCUCCAUUGAUUCGGUUUAUGAGCUGUUCCAUCAGUUGAAGCAACUUCUGAGACAUUUGCAAAACCUUAUACAAUGAGGGAGAUUGCAGUAGAAAUGGAGAGACUCAAUGCAUCUCAACCCUCAAAAGAUCUACAAACUAAUAUAAGGUUCCAGAGCCACAGUGGGCCUUUAGGAGGCGGCUGAAGCAUACCUUGUGGGUCUCUUUGAAGGCACCAACUUGUGUGCCAUUCACGCUAAGGGGGUCACCAUCAUGCCUAAGGACAUUCAAUUAGCUCUCUCCUUAUUUGUAGAUCAAUUCAAAGUUCCCCUCACAAAAAUGCAGCAAUCUUUUUAUUCAAUUUGUUCACUUUUUGUUGUUCGUUGGACUUUUUGCUUUGUAUCCGUGUUUGUUGAUCUUGUUUGUUCGAAUUUGAUGUAGAAAUUGAGCUACAUAGACUUUGAUUCGGACAAUUUGGUGUUACCUUUGAAGAUAUCAAGUGUGCUCUUCUACAAUUAAUCACAGUUAGUUGUUUCCUAUUGAUUUGUUUUUUGUUUCCUUUCUUUCGAUCUUAUAUGGCCUUUUGACAAUUCCUUUUAGGAAUUUUACCUUGCUUUUCUGCAUUUUGGUUUGUUUUUUGAAUGAUUGGUUUGAUUUUCUACUGUGAAAACUUCUGGCUGAGUCUCAUAGAUUUGCCUUAUUACCUUUUCACUCAAAAAAUUGAUGGACUUAAAUAUGCUAAGAAAUGUGGAAGUAUGCACGAUAGCUAAGGGUUUUAAUGCUAUUCUGUUAGCGAGCUCCUUGAGCUCAGGCCAUGAAGAAUUCAGUCAAAGGUUGGCUCUAAACUCAAUUGAAAUCAGCUGAUCAAGCAGAGUUUGCAAUGCUAGCAUGCGCUGUGCAAGUUCAAAUGUAUCUGUCAAAUAAAUAUAAAAAAGUGAUUUGUAUCUUUGCUAUAUGUGAGAGCUAUGUUUCAUGCUAUUAGGCUAACCUGUUUUUUUUCUUCAUUUCCCUGUUUUUUUCUGUCAAGUUUUUUGGAGAUCAUUGUAAUGGAGUUACAUGUCUUUUCUUUAAUGCAGGCAUGGUAUAGGAGAAGACGUAGGCUGGUCCUGGCGUACCAAAGCACGAACAGAGUAUUGUACUUCAAUUCAAUAUCUAGAGGAAAAUGAAAGGGAGUAUAUACGCCAUCAGAGGCCUAAAUUGGCAAUGAUAGGGAAGGGUGCAUUUGAUGAGAAAUUUCUCUUGAUUUUAUGAGUGGCAAUCAUGUUGAAGAUUACAAGCAUGAGCUCCCUGACAAAUUCAAGCUUAUAGGUAGAUGAUGUCCUGAUUAAACAAUAAUAAUCUACUUGGAGGAGGCAGGUUGCAGAGCUGGAAAACUUCACAAGGAACAAGCAAUAUAUAGUGCUAUUAUAGAUCAGAUUUGUAAUAUGUUUUCUAUUUAAUCUCCCUUGCCAGAUUCUAUAGAAUAUCAUAAUGAGUCAUUGAAGAACUCAUAAUUGUACCUCAAAAAAUAUUGUUGAUCUUACAUUAGUGUGUCAUAGUUUCUAAAUUCUAAUGUUUUGAUAACUACUUGGGGUGUGUUAAAUGUUACAGUAAUCUAACUAUGGAAUACACCUCUUGUUUUAAUAAAUAAUGACUAGGGAGGGUUUUUUAAAUAAUUGUACUUUUUUUUUUUACAAAAAUGGAUGGUUUUUUCCUUUUCAAAAAUAAUUAGGGUUGUAUUAACCUUUGGAUAAUCUAAUGUGAUGGUGUGCUGUAUGUAUCCCUCGGUUAUUAAUUAUCUCUAAGUUUACAUGUUUGAAAAUAAUUUUGCUUACAUGUCAAAUAAUUUUUCCGGUAAAGAUUUUGGGAAUCAUGUUGGUCGUCAAGAGUUUAAUCUUUAGUCAAAAUUGACAUAAAAUUAACAAAAAAAACUUCAUUUUUCAUGCUAAGCAAUACAUUUUUCGUGCCAAGCAAUACAUUAUACGUUGAAUUGUUCUAUCCAUAUAAUAAGAGUUAGAGGGAAGGAGGAGUGGGGACAAGAAGGUAGGGGUGAUAUGGAUAAGAUUAAAUUUGACUUUAUAUAUGUAGCAAUUUUUUAAAAAAAAAGAGCAAAAAUUGCAAUGAAAAAAAAAAAAAAAAAAAAAAA